rnacentral:rRNA from 1 species
CUAUACAUGACUCUGCGCAUAUCAAUAAGCGGAGGAAAAGAAACUAACAAGGAUUCCCUUAGUAACGGCGAGUGAAGCGGGAAGAGCUCAAAUUUGAAAUCUUCAAGGUUCUACCUUGACGAAUUGUAGUUUAUAGAAGUGUUUUCUGUUAGUGGAGUGGCAAAAGUUCUUUGGAAUAGGACAUCAUAGAGGGUGAGAAUCCCGUAUUUGGUCAUUCCUCCUAGCGUUGUGAUACACUUUCAACGAGUCGGAUUGUUUGGGAAUGCAGUCCAAAAUGGGUGGUAAAUUUCAUCUAAAGCUAAAUAUUGGCGAGAGACCGAUAGCGAACAAGUACCGUGAGGGAAAGAUGAAAAGAACUUUGAAAAGAGAGUUAAACAGUACGUGAAAUUGUCAAAAGGGAAGCGUUUGACACCAGUGUUGUUUUUCCGAAAAUCAAUUACGAAUGUUUUAGUUUUUGAGGAGUUAUGACUUCAUCGGCUUGCUUCUCUCUUUAUGAAACUUUCUUAAUGCACUUUUCGGUUAACAAGUCAACAUCAAUUUCUUUCGUUGUAAAAGGGUAUGAGGAAGGUGGCUUCAGCUUUCGGUGAAAGUGUUUAUAGCCUUGUACCUCUGCAGUCGGAGAGAUUGAGGUCUGCAGCGUAGACUCCUUCGGGGUUAGAUACAUUUGUGCUAAGUUAGUAGCUUUUCAUAGACAACUUGUUGAUUAUGUUAAGUCUUGUAGCUUACUCGCUUAUGCUAUUUUACCUACGCUUAGGAUGUUGAUAUGCAUGACUGAUAU